AAUCCAGACUCCUACGGGAGGCAGCAGUGAGGAAUAUUGGUCAAUGGGCGAGAGCCUGAACCAGCCAAGUCGCGUGAGGGAUGACGGUCCUAUGGCUUGUAAACCUCUUUUGUCAGGGAGCAAAGGGCGCCACGUGUGGCGUUUUGCGAGUACCUGAAGAAAAAGCAUCGGCUAACUCCGUGCCAGCAGCCGCGGUAAUACGGAGGAUGCGAGCGUUAUCCGGAUUUAUUGGGUUUAAAGGGUGCGCAGGCGGAAUGUCAAGUCAGCGGUAAAAUUUCGGGGCUCAACCCCGUCGUGCCGUUGAAACUGGCGUUCUUGAGUGAGCGAGAAGUAUGCGGAAUGCGUGGUGUAGCGGUGAAAUGCAUAGAUAUCACGCAGAACUCCGAUUGCGAAGGCAGCAUACCGGCGCUCAACUGACGCUCAUGCACGAAAGCGUGGGUAUCGAACAGGAUUAGAUACCCUAGUA
rnacentral:rRNA from 1 species